rnacentral:sRNA from 1 species
CUGAGCCAUUUCUCCAGCCCCCAUAAUUCUAUUUCUAAAGUGUCCUUUUCUUUCGAAAUAUACUUACAUAAAGUGUGGCCUUAACCAAAAAUUUUAAAUCUUGUUCUUCAGCAUUAGUUAUAUUCAAUUACUAUUGUCUUACAUUCAUGAUGUUCUAUCGUUAUUCUUCUGUUAUUCUUCUCUCAUUCAUUACAUCUCAAUUCCCUCCACCAAUUCCAUGCAGCUCUCCCAAUUAUCUCUCCUCUCACCCAGAUCCACACCUUUUCCCAUUAUGUUCAAAAGAGAGAGGGGGAGGAAAGGGACAGGGUAUAGGGAAAGGGGAAAGGGAAAGGGUGAGAGAGGUUACACAAGGAUGUGUCAACCAAACACCAUAAGUUAGCAUCAAAAGUUACGGUAAGACAAAACUGCUUAUUAAGACUGGCCGAAGAAACCAUCAGAGAUUUAAUUACUUCUGGAUGAAGUAAUUGAAAGUAUGCAUUAGGAUGGAUGGUAUAUUUACUUGUUAAAAAUUAUUUUUAAAACUCAUUUGUAAAUUAUUCUGAUGAGUGGAUUUAGAACCACAGCAAUUCGUAAAAGAUGCUGUCUAGAAAAUCCGACUGAUAUAAAACCACAUUAAAGCUGAGAAAGUCCUUUUCCUUUCUGUAUCCUCAACAACAGCAUGUAUCCGAUUGCAGCAAACUGAUCCAGUAAAUAGAAGGUCUACAGGAAAUGAGUUAUAAAAGCGCUGCGCAGUGUGUUGCCCCUCUCUUUCAGACCCUGGCUUCUGGCAAGAGAAAAUAUGGUGAAACUACAAAGACCAGAAAUCCUUUCGGUUUUCAACUUCCCUUGGAGCCAAGCCUGGGAGUGACACCCACUUCAUUCAAUUCCUGUGGUCGUGGGAACACUGGAAAGUGGUUUGUUUUCCCUUUUGUUACAUUCAGGAUUUCUUUGAUUGAAUCUUGUCUUCGCAAUAAUUACUGAUAAUACAAGUCUCGCCUUUAUUUUUUCCGUUAAUCUUGGAAUGCGGCUAAAAGAAGGAAGUGAACGAUUCAGAAUUAAUUGAGGGAUUACAGAAGUCACGAUUCAAUUCAAGACAUCGGGUCGAACACUACAAUCUUUGAAACAUUUGCAGUCGAGAAUUGGAGGGCAGUUAAUAAAUAUGCAAUUUCAUUCUUUUAUCUGCGGCCAUUCCCAUUGAUCAGAAUCAUUUAUUAAAAUUUUUAAAUUUUAUUAAACUAACAGAUAUCACUGUGGGAUUAUAUUGGCUACAUUUCUAAGGAAAAGUGACCCUCGUGCAUCAGGCAGUCAUCAGUGCUAAGGGAGCCCAGGGACUAAAUUUUUCAAAGAAGAAAAAGUAGAUGAAAGUUACCAUGUUGUGACCUGUAAUUUCACAUUGGGAGAGAUAAACGUGGAGUACUUCUCUGAGGACACUUUGGAUUACACUAAUUAGAAGGAACCUUAGGCUGCAGUUUGUGAAUGAAGUAGAGAGUUGGACAUUCUAUCUUUGUGAAUAAUUGAUGGAAUUUUGAUGGGGAAUUGCACUGGAACUGCAGAUCGCUUUUGUAAACUAUAGAAGCGGAUGUCUGUACCAAAGAUGAAAGAUGAGAUUUGAGCUUGAACUUCAUCAAAAUGCAGGUUACAUUGUGAAAACAAGGAAGAGCAGAUCACAGGAGGUAGACACGCAAAAAUAUGAAUCUCAAGAUCAUCCUAAGCAAGUCUAUGAACUGACUGAGUCCAUUUCAAAGGAAAGCUUUGUACAAAUUUGGCAAUUAUUCUACAGGUGAGUAACACUCUUCCUCCAAAUAUUUAAGGUUCUCCUUUCUUUAUGUAAAAGCUUAACCUUCCAUCUAUAUCUUGUUUUUCCAAUUAUAAUUGAUAGAUAAUAUGUUUCAGUACUUCUAAAUUCAAAUGUGAGUUUUUUUUUAAUUUGAUAUAUUUUCUCUAAUUCUCAAUGUCAGCAUAAAAAAAUUGAAAUUUGAAGUCAAUAUACCUAAAUUAUUCUCUGUCACUGGAAUUUAUGAAACUGGUGCUUUAGAGAAGGGGAAAUGUCAGGCUAUGAUUUAAUCAGUGGAGAUCCUUAGGAGUCAGGGUGAUUAUGGAACCUAAGAAAGAAAAAUGUCCCAGACUAUAUAACUUGGCCUGACAGCUCAAUAUCUUUAUACUAUAAUUUAUGUCCAUGUUGUCUCCAAAUAAUAACACAGCUUAUGGACAAAGAGAGAAAUUUAGAUACCCUCACAUGAUUGUGAGAAAAUUGUCAGUCAUUCAUUUUGACAUUUCUUCCUGUAUAGGAUGUUUUUCUUUAUACUGUCAUUAAUUUCCAACCAUAGCUAAGUCUUGGAGAAUGUGGUGCAUAUAAUGAGGUUUUAUAGUUUUGUGUCAGUCCAUCAGGUCUUAUGUUACAGUCCUUGAACCAUUUGCAGUCGAGUUUAAGAUGGUAAUCGAUAAAGAUAUAUUUUCAUUCUUCUAUCUACAGUUUUCCAGGUUAAUAAGAAGCAUUUAGUAUGUUUUUCAUUUUUUUUAAAUGACUGUAUCAAUAUAGGAUUAUACAUUAUUCAUCCUUUCUAUUCAACUGAUCAAUGUAAUAUAUUGUUAUGACAUUUAAGUCGUAUCAUUUUAAAGUAGUAUCAUUGUUGUGUAUGAAGACUAUCAAAUUUUCUGCGUUAAACUCUAAUCCUAUCAACUUUGUGGGUGAAACAGUAACAAGAGAUUUCUAGUUGAAAAUUAAGGAUAACAUAUAUAUAUAUAUAUAUAUGUAUAUAUAUAAAAACAUCAUAUUCAAAUGAAGAUAACUUAACAUUCCCAUCUGUAUCACAUUUUACUUCUUCAACAUUUUUCUAUCGAUAAUUCUUGCAUUCCCUAAUACUGUGAUAAGUAAUGGAAUGAAUUUGUCUUGUUCCAAAGUAUUAUCAUUAAUACAUGUCUCCACUUACUAAAAUUUUGGCUUUUGUUAUAUAUUACCUAUAUUAAGUCAAUAUAUGUUCUCUAUAUCCUUACCAGUGGUAAUAUUUCUGAAAAAAUAAUUUGACACUUGCUCAUCCAGCAGCCAUCGAUGUUAAUUUCAUAUGAUCAAACUAUUGUCUCACUUCAUGAUUGAGAGAAGACGAUGCAUUUACUCACGGUAGGAACUGGAAGCAGGCGCUUAAACAGAAGUGUUGUUGCUGCUUACCAGUUUUCUUCCUGUGGGUAGUUCAGAAUCCUUCCUAAUACACACCAGGAUCACCUAAACAGGGACUAAAUUUUUCAAAGAAGAAAAAGUAGAUGAAAGUUACCAUGUUGUGACCUGUAAUUUCACAUUGGGAUUGAUAAACGUGGAGUACUUCUCUGAGGACACUUUGGAUUACACUAAUUAGAAGGAACCCUAGUCUGCAGUUUGUGAGUAUGUAUCAAAAAGUCACCAAAAGAAGUGAGUUUAAAUGAUGAUAUAAAUGAACAAAUAACUAAUUUAUCUGAGAUGUAAGUAGAGUAAAAUAUUUUCCAGUAACUAAAUAUUACAUGUUUGAACAAAAGGACAAUACAAAUCAAAUCAAUCAAAUGACUUUUAUGCUUUUCAAACCAUUGACACAUAGGAAUGUUGCUCUAAAUAGGAUGUAUACCCAGUGUGUUAUAGUUCCUGAGUUGAAAUCCCAGUGUUUCAGUGAAAAAAUAAUUUGACUCAUCAGUGAGCUGGCAGGUUAUAUAAAAUGAACUCUAGUAAAAACAAAGUUCCAUCCUGGAGUGUAUCAGAGCAGAAUGACUUGCACAAUUUUGCUCUGACCAAUAGAAAUGUAUCCUCUGAAGACUAACUUAAUUAAAUGUUAGUACCUAAAGAUGUAUCAAUAUGGAAUCUGUAUUAGUUUUUGAUUUACUAAUUUUUGAAAAUUGAUUUUUUUCAGACCAUAUAUUCUAAUCCCUCCUUACUUUGUUCUCCCUGAUAAUUUCUACCUCUACAUUGAUCUAAUUCCUCAUGUUCUCAUCCCACCCCUUAGAAAACAUGAAAAAAACAUAACCAUACGCAAACAGAACAAUCAAAGGAAUCAUGAAAUAUAAGAAAAAACACCAGAAGCACAUAGACACAUAUUUAUACAUGCUCACAGAGAAAAGCCCAGGAAAUUAUUAAAUUGUCAGUCAUAAUGUAUCAGAAAAUUACCAGCAUGGUUAAAAUAUAGUAAAUUAUGAAUCAAAAAAUUCAAACUUACCAUUGAUUUAUAUAAGUUAGAAUGAAGCCUUUGCUUGAGUGUGGAUUCUAUUCCUAUGAAACCGUACUGGAAAAAGUAGUUUUUAUAUUGGAAAAUGUGUUAAAUGGAGAGAGCUUCUUAGUGAGGUAGAUCAUAUUCAUUUUCCACUACUUGUGGUUGGACCUCCAAUAAUUUUGACCUGCAAAACCUGUGCAGAACCUGCACAUGGUUUCCUGGUUUAUAUGAGUCGAUAUGUGUAUCAGUCCUGCUCUAUCUGGACAUCAUUACUGACUUGCUUGCAUUCCUCCAGCACCACAGUGCCUUAUAAUAUUUCUACUGUGUCUUUUACAAAUCUUUCCUGAGCCAUGAAGGAAGAGAUAGGACAGCAGUGUAUCAUUUAUGAGAGUGUGAUCCAAAGUCUUUCACUCUGUAUAUUGUGCAGACAUGGUUCUCUUUACUUAGCCCAAUCUAUUGUAUAUGCUAGCUUUUGUGAUGACAGUAGAGCAAUAUACUGAUCUAUGCAUAUAACAGAAUGUUAUUAGGAAUCAUUUUGUAGCGACAUUUCUAUAGCAGGUAAUAAUACCUACCGUAAGCCUUAAACUCCAGUAUUUAGUCAUGAGAACAAUGGUAGAAAUGUGUUCUGUCUCACUGUGUAUGUCUCAAAUCCAGUCAGAUAGUGGUUUCUUACUCCCUUGAAAGCACCACUAUUGCAGCAGCUUAUCUUAUAGGCAGCUGACUGCGGUAGAUCAAAUAGUAUAGAGGUUGGUUGGCAUUUAAGUUUCUGCUCAGUAACCAUGCAGAAUUCAUUUCAGUAUGAGCAACACAAUUCAAAAGGUAAAGGUUUUAGUUAGGCACCUGCUUGUCUUCUCUACGUUCAAAAGAAA